rnacentral:rRNA from 1 species
CAGCCGCCGCGGGAAUACGUAGGGUGCAAGCGUUAAUCGGAAUUACUGGGCGUAAAGCGUGCGCAGGCGGUUUGUUAAGACAGAUGUGAAAUCCCCGGGCUUAACCUGGGAACUGCAUUUGUGACUGGCAAGCUAGAGUAUGGCAGAGGGGGGUGGAAUUCCGCGUGUAGCAGUGAAAUGCGUAGAUAUGCGGAGGAACACCGAUGGCGAAGGCAGCCCCCUGGGCCAAUACUGACGCUCAUGCACGAAAGCGUGGGGAGCAAACAGGAUUAGAUACCCCCGUAGUCCCUGUCUCUUAUCC